AGUCCCAUAGUGUAGUGGUUAGCACAUGAGACUUUGAAUCUCAUGACCCGAGUUCGAAUCUCGGUGGGACCU
rnacentral:tRNA from 1 species